UACGUAGGGUGCAAGCGUUGUCCGGCAUUCUUGGGCGUAAAGAGCUCGUAGGCGGUUUGUCGCGUCUGCUGUGAAAUCCCAGGGCUUAACCCUGGGCCUGCAGUGGGUACGGGCAAACUAGAGUGCGGUAGGGGAGACUGGAAUUCCUGGUGUAGCGGUGAAAUGCGCAGAUAUCAGGAGGAACACCGAUGGCGAAGGCAGGUCUCUGGGCAUUAACUGACGCUGAGGAGCGAAAGCAUGGGGAGCGAACAGG
rnacentral:rRNA from 1 species